CUACAGGACACCCCAAGUUUCCCUGCGUCCUCUCCUGCCACCCUGAAACCUGUUCUUCACACAACAGCCUGACUCAUCUCUUAAAAUAUGACCGCCAACAACCUCCCAACUGGAUACCUAAAUCUGAGGGUAACUCUUCUAACUGGUGAUUGACAUCUGCCGAAGCAAAGAAUCAGGCAUUCACCAUCUUCUACAACCUGGUCUCACCCAAGUGGAUCCGAAGCUGUUUUCCCAAGAGGAUACUUUACUCUUCUGAGCAGAGUGCCUCCCUUUUCCCAUUCAUCUCCCCUCCAAAAUCCAGUUUAAAUAUCCUUUCCAGAAAUGUUCCGAAUUCCCAUCAGCCAGGUUUUCCCCCUUCCCCCUCUAACUGUUCUCUGCUCACGCCACUUAAUACUUUCUUUUUAGCCUAUUU
rnacentral:lncRNA from 1 species